ensembl:lncRNA
CUUAUUUUCUAUAAACAUUUCCUAUUUUUAUUAAGACAAUGUAGACAACUAACACACCAACAUUGUGGUUCCUAAAUUGUAGCCACGCUACUUAUGGAUGGCCAAUAAAUUACUUCACUCAUAUGAUAGAUAUAAAUAAAUGCUUCAUUUGAGUUCAAUUAAUAAGAUGGUGUCAGGGCAUCAUGCAGACGACAUAAUACAUGAGGAAAAACAACACAACCCCAGUGACAUCUCUGAUUUUUUUUUCCCGACGCAUGAAAACUAUCUUUUCCAACUUCCAAAAGAUGGAAUAAGACACUUAUUUCCAUACAAAAUACAUUUAGGUCCAUGUUUUUCUUUUAAAGGGGCAACUACACCACGUGAAACAUACAUUCACCGAUAGUCUCAAAAUCAUGUCGAUAUGUAUUUGUCCCCCAUUGGGUGUGGGCAUUUCAAUGAUUUCCAUGACAGCAGAAAGCUAAACUCAAAAUACGAUAAAUGUACAUUAUCUUGAUAAUCAUCAGAGGCAGAGACACUUUUCAGAUUCAUCUUUGGGCAUUAUUCUAUAUGUUUUCAUAUAGAGUUGAAAGUUGUUUCACAGUAUAAAAUCUUGAAUGAAUUGCUAACACACCUUGAUUUUUCUGCUUCUUGCUCUGAAAUGUAUUUGGAUCGGAGGUAAGAGACAAAUGACACUGCUCAAAAGAGCUUCUAGAGACCUUGAUGUGCAAAACUUUCAGAUUCAUAUAUUCAAAAAUAAAUUAUUUUUAAGUGAAAUGGGGAAGAGGUUGAGUCACGGGGUAGGGGGACGCCUAUAGUUUAUACUCUGCAUAAAUAGCUUUCAGUGUCUUCCAGGUGGGGGCAACAGUCAGUCAGUUUUGAGAGAAAGGAGGUCAAGCUCUUUAAGCUCCCUGAGUCGAGUCCGGUUACAGAAGAUGAAAAUGACUUCCUGGCAGUAACACUGUGAAUAAAACAACCGCAAGCCUCCAGAAGAUGAGACUUCUGGGCUCAGCUCCAGCCACCAGGCGGAAAGCAGCGGAUCAGCCACCAGUGCGUGCCAGCUUGAGGGAGAACAGAGGCAGCCCUGGACGCGCACGCGCGCUGAGCACCUGCCCAGCACUGCUGGGAUGCCGGUUACGGCUAAGUCGGUCCAGAUGCGCAUCCCUCGGCGUGCGUGCGGAUCCAGGCUGCUUGUCAGUUUCUGGCCUGCCGGGAUCUUUGAGAAGCAGGACGAUCAUUUGCGUUUACAUCUCAUUCAUUCUUCCUUUAGGCAAUUCAAGUCCAUUCACAACUGGUGCGGACUAGGCGCCGGCAAUCCGCUUUCCGCACAUCCUCAGACUUUGGGAAGGGGCAGCCACACAUUCUGGUCAGAGUGAGGUGACGCAUAAAGCAGAGAUCUGGGUAAAAGGACACCCCCUUCCCUUCUCCCCGACACACACACACACACACACACACACACACACACACACACACACACACACACACACACACACACCAGCAUCCUUGUCUCUUCUGUUUUCCUCUCUCGCCCAAGGUAAAGAAAGUAGAGAACAGAAAGACAGAAGCGGGAAACUGAGGCUCCACGUUGACUGAAGUGGUCCAUGGUCACAGAUGAAGCGGGGGCAGAAACCCCAGCGCACUGAGCUCAAGGCCGGGUCCUCCGGGGGCCUCUCAGGACAGGCGGUGCACGGGGAGCCGGGUGUGCUGUCCCUCUACGUGUCGCUCCUCCUGCCGCUGCCUGGAGCUGCGGUCGCCCGAGCCCUGGAGCCACCCCCGCCGCUUCCUGCCGAGCCCGCAGCCGCCCCUUCGGGCCGAUACUUGAGCCAGCAGAUGAUCCAGGUGACGACCACCGAGAAGAGAGCCAGGAUGCUAGCCACUGACAGGCAGAUGGGUCCUACGGGCGAGGGCGAGGGCGAUCCGGGGGCUGGGGCGGGGCCGGGGGACGAACCGCUGCUCGGGGGUCCCCCACCCCCGCCGCCGCCCCCGCCGCCGCCGUAGUGAUUGACGAAGAUGAGGCCGGUGAACAGCAGCACCACCAUGGAGAGGAACGAGAAGACCACGCACACACAGCCGGCGGUGAGCGCCGCCCGCUUGCAGUUCUGACAGCUUUCGUAGGCUCCCGGGGCGCGGAGACCUGGGCGGCCGCGAGGCCCGGGGGCGGUGUCCUCAGCGGGUGGUGGCGCCGGCUGCGGUGGCUGCGGGGCCGGGGCUGGCGGCGGGCGGUGGUGGGCGCGGGACGGCGGGAAGCCAGCGGCGGGAGCCGGUCCUGGGGCAGCGGAUCCUGCGCGGCGCGCAGAGCCAGCGGGAAGGCCUCGGCGAGCUUGGUGUUGUUGGGCAGACCGUGCACGCGGCUGUCCGGCAGCGGCGUGCGGUGGCGGCACACCGGGCACGCGAUGGCCCGGGCGGGCCGUGCCAGGGUGGCGGGCGCGGCGCGCGCUCAGGGGCAGCGCUGGAGGCGGCGGCGGCGGCGCGGAGCUGCAGCUGGCUCAAGCACUCCUGGCAGAAGGUGUGCAGGCAUGCCAGCAGCUUGGGGGCGCGCCGGUCCGCGUCGAAGUAGUUGUAGCAGAUUUUGCACUCGUAGUCCUCGAGCGGAGGGAGGUUGGGGGCGGUCGCCGUGGUGGCCCGGACUACCGUGUUCCAGUCGUCGCGAGCUCCCGCCGCAGUACCCCCAACUCCCUCCCGGCUCCCGGGGCUGCUGCUCCGGCUCUGGGUGCUGCCACCGCUGUCGUUCGCAGGGGCUGCCAUGGCACGAUCCGCCCCUCAUCGGGGGCUAGUCUAGGGCCAGGUCCCGGGAGAAGUCGCCUCUCCCCCUACCAGCAAGAGCUCACCGUGAUGUCAUGCAGGACCCGCGCAGGAAGGGGAAGCAGCGGCCUCUCAGCCUGGUAGAGGCGGUUCCUUCCCCAGGCUGAAAAUCGUGAUCUCACGUCUCAGUCCAAGGGCGAAAGCCAAUAAUCCCCGAGCCAUUUACGCUUUGCUCUUUUAUUAGCAGGGCCCAGGCAGUCGUGCAGUGCUCAUCUCAGAGUGGAAGCGUAGAAGCGCAUUUUCCCUUCGCCGUUUGGAGGAAAUUUGGGAACCGGGCGGUAAGAACACUGCACUUUCCAUCCCUAUCCUCUGAAGAUCGCAAGGUGCCACGAGGAAUAGCUGCAGAAACGACUGGGAAGCAAACUCAAGAAAGAAACCAGCAAGAAUUUCCCAGAAGGGCCGGGGAUGCAGCUGAGUGGGGAGAGUGCUGACACGCACGCAGGAAAGCCCAGUGUCAUCCUGAGCACUACAUACAGCAUAAACCUGUAACAAUCCAGCACUUGGGAGGUGGGGGCAGCAGUCUAGAGAUUCUUAGCAUCCUCAACUACAUAUGGAGUUUGAGGCCAGCCAGGGCCUGUCUCCAAACACAAACUAAAACAAAGCAAAAUGAAUUUCUGGGGGAAUUCUAAGUGACUAUGACAUAUCUGGAGCAUUUGAAAAUAAGUACAGUUUUACUCUGUGUGAACAGUGAAAGCAAUCUGUUUUAAGUUAAACUUGUUAAAAACACUAACUUUUUUACUUUAGAGCUUUAUAAUUAUUAUUUGGGACAAUGUAUCUUUUUAAAUAUCUCACUCUGCGAUGGAGACAGUAAUGAGAGGUCCAGUUGAUGGGACAACAAAAAAGCUGUCCUCUGGCCUUGAAACUCAGAGCUAGCUGAGUUUCAAAAGUACUUCUCACUUGUCCACUUUCAGCAUGUGUGUCUCACACACAGUUUCACACUGGAUUCUUUACACUCUGAUUAGGUGUGUGCUAUGCUUGCAAUGUCAAUUAGAACUUGAAAUGGUCUCACAAGAGAGCUAAUGUGGAUGGGUAUGGUUCUUUUCACACACCCAGCUUCAUGCUGAAGAUGCCCAAAAGGUGACUGCAAGAGCUCUGAAGACAUGUGUGUUAGGAUAUAAUGUGUACUUGGGUAAAACACUUAAGCUUUAGCAGUUAUAGCCGGCAGUGCAUUCUCACCUUACACCAGGGCUUCUCAUACCAGCACUACUGACAUUUUGAACUGGUUAAAUUUUUAUUGCAGGUGCUGUUCUGUGCAUGGCCAAAGUUAAAUGGUGUCCUUGGCCUCUACUCAUUUGAAGUCAAUAGCAAAGCAUCCCAAUUUAACAACCAACGUUACCCCCUGAGGACAAAAUUAUCCCUGGCUACGACUUGCACAAAGACCACAGAUUUGCUUUAAGUGAGAUCUGAACCAGAUCUUCCAGCUCCUAUCUAGUAUAUGCAAGCAGGGUCCCCAAGGUAUUUAUCACAUCGUGAUAGGUCAUGGUGGUUUAAGUCCCAAAGCACAGAAUAAUCUUUGAAAGACACUGUUAUAAUUUUUGUGAAUACUUUCUAUAAACAAGUACAGGACUUUGGCUAACAAUGACAGAACUUACUGUGUUUGAGUAGGUUUUGUUUUUUGUUUUGUCUUGGGUAGACAGUAUCCCACACUAUAACUCAGGAUGACCUGGAACUCACUAGCAACAAACACAGCAAUCUUCCUCUGUUAGCCUCCCAAGUAUUGGAAUCACAGGCAUGAACCAGCACACACAGUUUGGAUAGUGUUUUGAGGGGAACCCAACACUUCAAUUAUUUUAUAUCUUGGGGACAGAUGUUAAUUUCUAGGACUCAUAAGGUGUUUUAUAAAGACUUCCUUGGAACAAUGGGGAGGGUUGGUGACAUCUAGAGACCUAGUGGACUAUAAUGCCCAGUCCAGUCAUGUUGCUUCCAAGAGUAAGCAUGGAAGCUUGGUCAUGUUGGGGAACUGGACUUUCCCUGGGAAGAAAAUGUGUUGAACUGGAACUUAAGUUGUCAACGAAUAGUUCAUUAUUCAUUCUAGGAUUUGAAUUGGCUUCACCAGAACACUACUCGUAUCUUGAACAUAUUAGAUACUAUUUGCUGGAUUAUUUUAUUUUUGAGGACCCAAGGAAAUGGGAAACAGCCAUGCUCUCUAACUAUCUCUUGUCUAUGGUCCUUCCCUUGGCUACCUAAAGAAUGUUCUAGUUUCAGAAGUCUCUGUCUCAACAAAAGGUUUAAGAGAUUUUCAUUCACAGAACAUGUGCCUUGGCAGUUCCAGAUCCUAGGUUGGCUUUUCACCUUUUGUGUAUUUGUAGGCUACCUUUUCUGUGCCUUGGUUCCCCAAACUAAAAUUUGGACAAAAGUACUUACUGUGUAGUUAUUUAUUGCACAUUGUAAGGAUCGGAUGUGUUGUGUAUGUAACAUGAAAUAAUAGGCCCUGGGCACUGGUAACACUCAUUAUUAUUUAUGUUGGGGUUCCUGUAUGCCUUCUAGGGAUCCUCACAGGCAUUUGUGAGGAUCUCUAGAUCAGUGUCCUCAGUGUCUGUGGGACCCAGUCCAAAGUGGAGCAGCCAAAGGCAAUGGGGCAGAUGUCAUCCAGUUCUUCUGACAAUCAAAGUUGAGACACAGGUAGCAUCCCAGCCACAGGACCAGCUUUCCUCUGAAGUCAGCCACACUCCACAGAUCUGCCAGCUGUAAUAAACAAAGCCCUUCAUAAAUCCUCAGGGCCAAGUGAAAUCUCAUUGUUCAUAUUGGAGGGAUAGAUGUCUAGGCAGAUAAAGCUACUCAGAAUCAAGUAUUAAAUCAUUCCAUCAAAUAGUUGACAUUUUAAAAUAGAAACCAGGUCGAUGAAAUUCAGCAUUUGCCCAGGUCCUGUUUCAGAAGGCAUUGAAACUGGUGAGGAUGCCUGGCCUCUAGCAACCAAGAGUUCAAUGGAAGAGUCCAAGGAAACAGACUGAGCUGUGACUAUCCUAGAGGAGACAAUGAGACAGAAAAAGGGCACUGGGGACAACCUAAGGAAAUUUGAAUAAAGUCGAUUUUAGUGAACAAUAAUGUAUAAAAAUGGGUCUUUGGUUAUGAUAAAUAUAGAAUAUUAAUGUAAGGUAUAAAAACAAGAAACUAGGUGUGGUGAUUCUGAGGACACUGGGAAUCUUUGCAAGUUUCUGUAAGUCUAAAACUAUUCUAAAAUAUAAGUUUAAUUUUCAUUGUAUAGAUUUCUGGAAUUGUUUUUGUUGGCUUUGCAAUACUGUAACAAAAUUGCUGAGAUAACCAAAUUAUAAAGGACAAAGGCUU